GCCCCGCUAGCUCAAUCGGUAGAGCGUGAGACUUUUAUGAAGCAUAAGCCUCUUUAAAGGCACAAUUGCGCUGCUCAAACUUGUGCUCAGUUCGUAGGGGAUCUCAAGGCUGCGGGUUCGAGCCCCGCGUGGGGCU